CCUCCGGGCGGCAGCAGUGGGGAAUAUUGGACAAUGGGCGAAAGCCUGAUCCAGCCAUGCCGCGUGUGUGAAGAAGGCCUUCGGGUUGUAAAGCACUUUCAGUGGGGAAGAAAGCCUUGGGGCUAAUACCCUCGAGGAAGGACAUCACCCACAGAAGAAGCACCGGCUAACUCCGUGCCAGCAGCCGCGGUAAUACGGAGGGUGCGAGCGUUAAUCGGAAUUACUGGGCGUAAAGCGCGCGUAGGCGGUCUGAUAAGCCGGUUGUGAAAGCCCCGGGCUCAACCUGGGAACGGCAUCCGGAACUGUCAGGCUAGAGUGCAGGAGAGGAAGGUAGAAUUCCCGGUGUAGCGGUGAAAUGCGUAGAGAUCGGGAGGAAUACCAGUGGCGAAGGCGGCCUUCUGGACUGACACUGACGCUGAGGUGCGAAAGCGUGGGUAGCAAACAGGAUUAGAUACCCCAGUAGUC
rnacentral:rRNA from 1 species